UUACAAUUCUACACAUCAUUCUUCUUUGACCACAAAUCAUAGCACCACUUUCCUAAAGCUGCUGUCACGUUCCAGGCAAAGAGGAUGGCUCCAGUCAGCCCAGGCCCUGAGGGUGCUCCGAGCUCCUGCAGCCACCACUGCAAGGAAAGCAUUGAGUUGAGUGUUCUCCAAGGAACUGGUGGUUUGUAGCUGGACCUUCUCUGCCUGGAGGCAAACAGACACACCUCUAGUAGUGCCAAGAAUAUUUCCUUCCUGCUUCUCCCUGCACUGGUGCAGCACAACAUUCCUGCCGUGGAUGCAGGAGCUGGAUUUGAUGAUCCCUGAGGGACUUCCCAGCUCCAACACGAGAGUGUGUGGCUCUUUUCUGCUCCCUGAAUUGGAUCCCUGCUGCUCAGGGGUGCAGGAGCCUCAGAGGAAGGAGGAAAUCCUAACCCUGAAGGAAGAAUGUGCCUGUGACACCUGGACUCCUCUGACACAAAGGAUUAAAAGCGUUUUUCACCCCAGCCGUGGCUCAGGCGACCUUCAGAGCCCUGGCUGCAGACAAAACCUGAGACACGCUUGGCAAAAGGAGCAAAAAAGGAGAGGGGGGUGGAAGGGAAAUUAGAAACGUGGAAAUGUAAUAACUUUCCAUUAUGCAAAUUUGAUUUAAUCAGAGAUGAAG